rnacentral:rRNA from 1 species
GAAUCCGCCAAGGAGUGUGUAACAACUCACCUGCCGAAUGAAUUAGCCCUGAAAAUGGAUGGCGCUUAAGCGGAUGACCGACACCAUGCCGUCUGAAUGAUAAAAUUUUCAGAUGAGUAGGAGGACGUGGUGAUCGUGACGAAGUAUGUGUGCGAACACGUAUAGAACGAUCACUAGUGCAGAUCUUGGUGGUAGUAGCAAAUAUUCAAGCGAGAUCCUUGAAGGGCGAAGCGGGGAAGGGUUCCACGCUAACAUUGAUUGGGCGUGGGUGAGUCGUUCCUAAGCCGAGUGGCAAUUGCUAAGUAACGGCGAAAGGGAAGCAGGUUUACAUUCCUGCACACGGAUGUGGAGGCGGUGACGCUUUAUUGAGGCGAACACAUUGGCGAUGGCGCUAGGCAGAGUUGUCUUUUCUGUUUAACCGUUUGUAUAUAUUGUGUGGAGUCCGAUUAUCGGGAGAAACACAUAUAUACGGGCAGAGCGCCGGGGCUUAUCCGGCGUCUAGCUCGCCAUCGACGAUCCUUGAAACUUUGCCUGCUGAAAUUUUAAUAUCCACGCCGUGGCGUACCGAUCACCGCAUCAGGUCCCCGAGGUGAACAGCCUCUGCUCAAUAUGAAAAAUGCAGGUAAGGGAAGUCGGCA